GUGAGGAAUAUUGGACAAUGGGCGCAAGCCUGAUCCAGCCAUGCCGCGUGCAGGAUGACGGUCCUAUGGAUUGUAAACUGCUUUUAUACAGGAAGAAACAGUUCUACGUGUAGAACCUUGACGGUACUGUAAGAAUAAGGAUCGGCUAACUCCGUGCCAGCAGCCGCGGUAAUACGGAGGAUCCAAGCGUUAUCCGGAAUCAUUGGGUUUAAAGGGUCCGUAGGCGGUCAGAUAAGUCAGUGGUGAAAGCCCAUCGCUCAACGGUGGAACGGCCAUUGAUACUGUCUGACUUGAAUUAUUAGGAAGUAACUAGAAUAUGUAGUGUAGCGGUGAAAUGCUUAGAGAUUACAUGGAAUACCAAUUGCGAAGGCAGGUUACUACUAAUUGAUUGACGCUGAUGGACGAAAGCGUGGGUAGCGAACAGG
rnacentral:rRNA from 1 species